GACGAACGCUGGCGGCGUGCUUAACACAUGCAAGUCGAACGGGCCCGCUCUCUUUUUUGGGGGUGGGUUGAGUGGCGAACGGGUGAGUAUCACGUGAGUAACCUGCCCCCUGCUCCUGGAUAACUGCUUGAAAGGGCGGCUAAUACGGGGUGUGCCGGCUGGUCCGCAUGGGCCUGGUCGGGAUAGUUUCAUCUUCGGGUGUUUCGGUGGGGGGUGGGCUCGCGGCCUAUCAGCUUGUUGGUGGGGUGAUGGCCCACCAAGGCGGUGACGGGUAGCCGGCCUGGGAGGGUGGGCGGCCACACUGGGACUGAGGCACGGCCCCGACUCCUGCGGGAGGCAGCGGUGGGGGGUAUUGCACAAUGGGCGGAGGCCUGAUGCAGCGACGUCGCGUGAGGGAUGGAGGCCUUCGGGUUGUGAACCUCUUUCUCCGGUGGUGAAGGCCCUGUCCGUUGCGGCGGGGUUGACGGUAGCCGGGUAUGAAGCGCCGGCUAACUACGUG
rnacentral:rRNA from 1 species